UACAGAGGGGGCGAGCGUUGUUCGGAAUUACCGGGCGUAAAGGGCGCGUAGGCGGCCCGCUAAGUCGAACGUGAAAUCCCCAGGCUUAACCUGGGAACUGCGUCCGAUACUGGCAGGCUUGAAUCCGGGAGAGGGAUGUGGAAUUCCAGGUGUAGCGGUGAAAUGCGUAGAUAUCUGGAGGAACACCGGUGGCGAAGGCGGCAUCCUGGACCGGUAUUGACGCUGAGGCGCGAAAGCUAGGGGAGCAAACGGG
rnacentral:rRNA from 1 species